GAGGGCCCCGACAGGGGGGUGACCCGGACUUCCCGGGGCGCGGGCGGUCCACCGCCAAGAGCCCCCUGCGGCUGAGGGGCUGAGCGGCAGCCCCGCGCUUGCGCGCCGCGCUCCUCCUUGACCUGAGCCUUCCAGCCUUUAAAAUGCCUUCCAAAAGUAUCCCAUCAUAGAGAAGACAGCAUGGCUACCCAGGAGAUACGGCCUCUUGGAGAACUUGGGAGACCCCAACUUUAAAGAGGUGCAGAGUUAUGGGGAGAAGAUCCAGCACUGUUUGGACCACAGGGAAAGCAGGCCUUCAGACGAGAGUCAGGAGUAUCUUGAACAAAAAUGCAAGUAAAAUGAUUAUUUCUUCUUUUGAAUUAUCUUAAAUUACUGCAAUCUGAGUUAUGUGUUUAAUAUUCUGUUUAUUCAGAUUUUUUUGUCCCUUGUAUUGAGAGGUUUUUGGGAUAUCUGAUUUCUUCAUUUUCAGGAGUCUUCUAAACUUCUUACUCUGUAGAUAAACAGAAGGUGGAGGGAGGAGAGGAGAAAAAGCUACAGAAUCAGAGCUGAAAUAAGUGAAUUUUAUUCAAAGCUUUUAAAAUCACUAUGUAUUUCAGACAUGAAGUCACCUUGAUGUUUUUUUUCCCCUUACUUUAACUCCAGAUUGUCGAUUUGAGUCCUGUAUUCC